AAAACUCCAGGGAUCUAAAUCCUUUGGUUAAUUCUAAUCUACUUCUACAAGCUUCCUGAGUGACAUCAAGCACGAAUCAAAGCAAAAGCAAGUGAGUUCUGACCUGUAUUGAUGGUAUUUUCCAGAAUUUUUCAUCUCUUCGAUUCUCACUCAAUUCUCCAUAAUUCUAUUUGUUCCUAGGUUGUCUGAAGUCCUAUCAAUGUAGGCAAGAAGAUUGAGUUGCUUUGAGGUCAAAUUGAAGCAACUCAGAUCAUGCAC
rnacentral:lncRNA from 1 species